AUGUUAGUUGUAGCGCGCCUUCCCUCCUUCUCUCACUUCGGAAAGAUUUCGCAGUAUUUUCUUAUGAUGACCUGGUCGAGAGAGUACGAUACAUCGGUGUAAAAGAUGGAGUGGGAUCUGUGAGGUUGGUUAUAGUCAGGCCUGGCCGGAAAGUCUUCUUGCCUCUAUCAUUGAAGGAAAGGUUGGUCAACAAUUUGGAGAGUUUGCUUUUAUUUCAUCUUUCUAAGAGCAGUCUGUUUGAUCAAAUCAGGGAUCAGACCGCUCCUGGUGUUCGAACUAGUCAUUAA